rnacentral:misc_RNA from 1 species
UCCGGUUUGUCACCGGCAGUCUGGCGUGAGUCCCCAACUAAAUGAUGGCAACACGCCACAGGGGUUGCGCUCGUUGCGGGACAUAACCCAACAUCUCACGACACGGGCUGACGACAGCCAUGCAGCAUCUGUGGUGCACCCUCGAAGGUCACACGUUUCCGUGCGCUUGCAGCACCAUGUCAAGUCCAGGUAAGGUGGGGAUGACGUAGACCUUGGACC